rnacentral:rRNA from 1 species
CUACGGGGUGCUGCAGUGAGGAAUUUUGCGCAAUGGGGGAAACCCUGACGCAGCAACGCCGCGUGAGCGAAGAAGGCCUUCGGGUCGUAAAGCUCUGUCAAGUGGGAAAAAAAUUCUUUGAUGAACAGUCAAAGGACUUGAUGGUACCACUGGAGGAAGCACCGGCUAACUCCGUGCCAGCAGCCGCGGUAAUACGGAGGGGGCAAGCGUGUUCGGAAUUACUGGGCGUAAAGAGCGUGUAGGCGGUUUGACAAGUCAGAUGUGAAAGCCCCGGGCUCAACCCGGGAAGUGCAUUUGAAACUGUUUCACUAGAGUAUGGGAGAGGAGAUUGGAAUUCCUGGUGUAGAGGUGAAAUUCGUAGAUAUCAGGAGGAACACCCGUGGCGAAGGCGAUUCUCUGGACCAAUACUGACGCUGAGACGCGAAAGCGUGGGGAGCAAACAGGAUUAGAUACCCUUGUAGUC